GAUGAACGCUGGCGGCAGGCUUAACACAUGCAAGUCGAACGCAUCCUUCGGGGUGAGUGGCAGACGGGUGAGUAACGCGUGGGAACGUGCCCUUCAGUUCGGGAUAACCCAGGGAAACUUGGGCUAAUACCGGAUACGUGCGAGAGCAGAAAGAUUUAUCGCUGAAGGAUCGGCCCGCGUCUGAUUAGCUAGUUGGUGGGGUAAUGGCCCACCAAGGCGACGAUCAGUAGCUGGUCUGAGAGGAUGAUCAGCCACGUUGGGACUGAGACACGGCCCAAACUCCUACGGGAGGCAGCAGUGGGGAAUAUUGGACAAUGGGCGCAAGCCUGAUCCAGCCAUGCCGCGUGAGUGAUGAAGGCCUUAGGGUUGUAAAGCUCUUUCGUCCGGGACGAUAAAGACGGUACCGGAAGAAGAAGCCCCGGCUAACUUCGUGCCAGCCGCCGCCGUAA
rnacentral:rRNA from 1 species